rnacentral:rRNA from 1 species
UACGUAGGGGGCAAGCGUUGUCCGGAUUUAUUGGGCGUAAAGAGCGUGUAGGCGGCCAUGCAGGUCCGUUGUGAAAACUCGAGGCUCAACCUCGAGACGUCGAUGGAAACCGUCUGGCUAGAGUCCGGAAGAGGAGAGUGGAAUUCCUGGUGUAGCGGUGAAAUGCGCAGAUAUCAGGAAGAACACCUAGUGGCGAAGGCAGCUCGCUGGGACGGUACUGACGCUGAGGCGCGAAAGCGUGGGGAGCGAACAGG